UACAUGCUGUAGUAAAGUAUCAGAUUACUGCAGUGAAGUAAAAGAGUACUGCAUUACAGUGUGUUGUUGGUGGGACAGUGUGUUGUUAUUGGGACAGUGUGCUGUUGGUGGAACAGUGUGUUGUUGGUGGAACAGUGUGUUGGUGGUGGAACAGUGUGUUGUUGGUGGAACAGUGUGUUGUUGGUGGUGGAACAGUGUGUUGUUGGUGGGACAGUGUGUUGUUGGUGGAACAGUGUGUUGUUGGUGGGACAGUGUGUUGUUGGUGGGACAGUGUGUUGUUGGUGGAACAGUGUGUUGUUGGUGUAACAGUGUGUUGUUAUUGGGACAGUGUGUUGUUGGUGGAACAGUGUGUUGGUGGUGGAACAGUGUGUUGUUGGUGGAACAGUGUGUUGUUGGUGGAACAGUGUGUUGUUGGUGGAACAGUGUGUUGUUGGUGGAACAGUGUGUUGUUGGUGGGACAGUGUGCUGUUUGUGGAACAGUGUGUUGUUGGUGGAACAGUGUGUUGUUGGUGGAACAGUGUGUUUUUGGUGUAACAGUGUGUUGUUAUUGGGACAGUGUGCUGUUGGUGGAACAGUGUGCUCUUGGUGUAACAGUGUGUUGUUGGUGGGACAGUGUGCUGUUGGUGGAACAGUGUGUUGUUGGUGUAACAGUGUGUUGUUGGUGGAACAGUGUGUUGUUAUUGGAACAGUGUGUUGUUGGUGGAACAGUGUGUUGUUGGUGUGACAGUGUGUUGUUGGUGGGACAGUGUGCUGUUGGUGGAACAGUGUGUUGUUAGUGGAACAGUGUGUUGUUGGUGGAACAGUGUGUUGUUAUUGGAACAGUGUGUUGUUGGUGGAACAGUGUGUUGUUGGUGUGACAGUGUGUUGUUGGUGGGACAGUGUGUUGUUGGUGGAACAGUGUGUUGUUGGUGGAACAGUGUGUUGUUGGUGUAACAGUGUGUUGUUGGUGGGACAGUGUGCUGUUGGUGGAACAGUGUGCUCUUGGUGGAACAGUGUGUUGUUGGUGGAACAGUGUGUUUGUGGAUUUGGUGGAACAGUGUGUUGUUGGUGGAACAGUGUGUUGUUGGUGUAACAGUGUGUUGUUGGUGGGACAGUGUGCUGUUUGUGGAACAGUGUGUUUUUGGUGUAACAGUGUGUUAUUGGGACAGUGUGCUGUUGGUGGAACAGUGUGUUGUUGGUGGAACAGUGUGUUGUUGGUGGGACAGUGUGCUGUUGGUGGAACAGUGUGUUGUUGGUGUAACAGUGUGUUGUUGGUGGGACAGUGUGUUGUUAUUGGGACAGUGUGUUCUUGGUGGAACAGUGUGUUGUUGGUGGAACAGUGUUUUGGUGGAACAGUGUGUUGGUGGAACAGUGUGUUGUUGGUGGAACAGUAUGUUGUCGGUGGAACAGUGUGUUGGUGGAACAGUGUGUUGUUGGUGGAACAGUAUGUUGUCGGUGGAACAGUGUGUUGGUGGAACAGUGUGUUGUUGGUGGAACAGUGUGUUGUUGGUGCAACAGUGUGUUCUUGGUGGAACAGUGUGUUGUUGGUGGAACAGUGUUUUGGUGGAACAGUGUGUUGGUGGAACAGUGUGUUGUUGGUGGAACAGUAUGUUGUCGGUGGAACAGUGUGCUGUUGGUGGAACAGUGUGUUGUUGGUGGAACAGUGUGUUGUUGGUGGAACAGUGUGUUGGUGGAACAGUGUGUUGGUGGUGGAACAGUUGGUGGAACAGUGUGUUGUUGGUGGAACAGUGUGUUGGUGGAACAGUGUGUUGGUGGAACAGUGUGUUGGUGGUGGAACAGUUGGUGGAACAGUGUGUUGGUGGUGGAACAGUGUGUUGUUAGUGUAAUAGUGUGUUGGUGGUGGAACAGUGUCUUGUUGGUGGGACAGUUGGUGGAACAGUGUGUUGUUAGUGUAAUAGUGUGUUGUUGGUGGGACAGUGUGUUGUUGGUGGGACAGUGUGUUGUUGGUGGAACAGUGUAUCUCUCCGUGAGACACCGCAGGUGAAGCAGCCUGUCACUGAAGGAGCUGCACAGUGCGGACAAAGUGUCCUGGAGGGUCAGUCUCCUCAGCUGCUCUGUUCCUUCUUAAACAGAGCAGCUGUUAUCUGACCAGUUUAUUGUUCAGGUGAACGCCCAGGUACUUGUAGGAUUUUACAAUCUCAAUGUCCGUUCUCAGGACGUUCACUGGUGUUGGGGGGGAAUGAUGGCGCCUCCUGAAGUCCACCACCAGCUCCCUGGUCUUCCCUGCGUUGAAUAGGAGGUGGUUCCUCUGGCACCAGAGGAUAAAGUCCUGUGUCUGCUCUCUAUUCUCCUGUCCUCACAUCAGAGAUGAGACAAAAGCAGAGUCAGAGAACUUCUCUCGGUCACACUUUGCUGUGUUGUGGGCGAAGUCUGGAGUGUAGAGGGUGAAGAGGCUGACCUCCUCCAUCCCCCCAGGACCAAGCUCAAAACCCUGGGAGAUCGAGCCUCCUGCUCCGCUGCUCCCAGACUGUGGAACGCUCUCUCUGAACAUCUGAGGACACCACAGACUGUGGAUGCUUUUAAAACAGGCCUAAAAACCAUCUUUUUCACAGAACCUUCUGCGAGACUUUAGCCCUCCAUCUGUUGCCUUGUCUGUUUACAGAAUGUUUUUAAAUGUAUAUUCUGCUUCAUCAUUUUUUUACUCUGUAGCACUUUGAGUUUUGUUUACUCAAAUGAAAAGUGCGCUUAUAAAUACAAUUUAUUAUUAUUAUUAUUAUUAUUAUUAUUAUUAUUAUUAUGAAGAG
ensembl:lncRNA